GUUUUAUACAUUGCAUUGUACCGGAGAGAAGGUAUACAUUUAAAUAGGUUUUGCAGUCAGAAAGAGAAGGUGAAUACUGGGACAUAUCUGUAUAACAUGGAAUCCUAUAUAUCAGAGGAUAAAACAUUUUUGGGUCAUCCAGCACAUCUGUGAGAUUAAGAUAAACAUUUCAGUUUAAAUUAAUAAUAGCACCUUCUUGGGUGGUAGUCAGAAGCAGUUAAACAUUUCAACCAAACUUUUAAUUAGCAGAAAGUGAAGAGUUCUUUACCUUGAAUUUGACCAGAAACAUGAAUGACUGACACAGAACAGCAGAUAAGCUGUUGGAGGGAACCUCUGAACACCAUCUGGUCCAGCCUCCUACUUUAUGUGUGCCAACAACCGAUCAGGUCGGCAGUGGCUUUUCCUGGUCAUGUCAUGACCUCCAACGAUGGAAAUUUCACUGCAUCCAACUAAUAGGUUUCCAUGUUGUACCGAAUUCCUAGUAAAACAUUUUUCCUAAUAUCCAGGGUGAAUCUGCCAGGUCUUCAUUUGCAGCUGUUGCCCUGGGCUAUACUGUUUUACACAGCUGUGCAUCUCUGUUCUUUAUGAGCACCUCCCCAUUAGCACCUGUAGAUGGUAUGAGACUGCCCCUCAGCCCCUUUUUUGCUGGGCUACACCAGCCCAAUGCCCUCCCUCUCCCCAUGUGCUGCUAUCUGUAGCUCUCUGAUGGAUCCAUGCUAGUUUUUCAGCAGCCAUUUUGAAGUGGGAGGCCUCAAAAAUGGACGUAGAAAUCCAUGACAGCCUCACCAGCACCAAGAAGUUUUCAGCUCCUCGUGCUUCUGAGGAAGGUGAAGGACGAGAGGUGCCUCCUGGCGAGAAUCCUGCUGCCUCCUGGGGGACUCAUUUGUGUUGCCUACAUCGCGUGCUGGAUUUAGAAGCCCUCCAGUGUUACCAUGGCAACAGUUUCUGCUUAAGUAUAGAAAAAUUUCACAGCAUACCAGAGAAGAGCAACAGCUUUCAGCCUGUUGGAAAAGGCAGUGAGGGACUGGUGGCUGGAGCCAACCAUACUGAUGAGACCCUGCUGCAUUGGGAAGAGUGGAACUAUCUGCCCUGUUUGGCAGGAUGCUCCUGCUCCUCUCACCUAUCAGCCUGUGAGGAAAUCUAG
rnacentral:lncRNA from 1 species